GUAGAUGCUUUGUAUUCUUCUAUGUAGGUCCAUCUCCACCUUAGACCUUCAGCAGCACUGCAUUAACCAACACUCCUAGCUUCUUGUAUAUUGUGACUUCUGCUCAAAGAAAGAGCACGUUUUGUUAUUUAUAAGGAGAAUGAGGAUGUGCUUAGCCACUUCAAGAUAAGAGAAGGAGCAAGUUUUCAUCUCGCUGGGGCAAGUGUAAUUGAAGUAAAAUUAGAGGAAAUUAUUUAUUCUUUUUAAUAUCAAAAUUUCAUGCUCUUGAAGAUUGUUUUUCACAGUAGUUCUCAUUUUAUGGAUUUUAAAGACUACUCUUUAUUUAUUUAUUAUUAUUUUUUAGUAAUUGUGUAUUUGUCUCAG
rnacentral:lncRNA from 1 species